rnacentral:siRNA from 1 species
UGGAGAGUAUUGGCCAACUUUCA